AUCGUUCUGCUUCUGGUUAACAGCAACAUCUCUGAUGUGUUUUAAGGCAUUAAAAACGAUUUUAUUGGUUGAAUUUGAUCUCCGAGCAAUAGCCUACUAAAAGACCCAUUUUGAUUUAAUUUCAUUUUUAGCCUUUAAUCCAGCAUCAUAAUGUGUAUAAAAUCCCCAAAUUGACCAAUAGCAACGUCAUUUUUGGCACCAUUUGAACUCUUGCAAGCCAACCAAGUCAUGGCUGCAUGUUCCGCUUUUGAUCAACAACAGGUGAAGAACAACAUGAUGCGUAAUAUGGAGAAACAGAAACGCAAAUUUAUCCAGAAUAUGGAAGGAUUUACUUAAGUUUCCCGAAGAAACAACAGGCUUAUUUGCAAAUCCUCUAUAGAGCUCGCAUUUGAUUUUCUGUGAUAUGCUGGACCCAAACCCCACAGCUUGACUGAGAGAUCCUGACCAACCAGGACACUUCGAGCUUUGACGUUCCCAUGAAUGCAGUUCUUACUAUGCAGAUACUCCUGCAAUCAGUACAGGUUUUGUCAGUGCAAUAACACUGGGUGUGACAAUAAAGGCUUUGCUCUACUGUAUAAAUCAAGAA
rnacentral:lncRNA from 1 species